ACUUUCAGCGACGGAUGUCUUGGCUCCCACAACGAUGAAGAACGCAGCGAAAUGCGAUACGUCUUGCGACUUGCAGAAUCCAGUGAAUCAUCAAAACUUUGAACGCACCUUGCGCUUCCGGGAUAUUCCUGGGAGCAUGCUUGUCGGAGUGUC
rnacentral:rRNA from 1 species